UAUGUACAGGGCAUAAGGUACAGGACACAGGGUAUAUACAGGGCAUAAGGUACAGGACACAGGGUAUGUACUUGGCAUAAGGUACAGGACACAUGGUAUGUACUGGGCAUAAGGUACAGGACACAGGGUAUAUACAGGGCAUAAGGUACAGGACACAGCGUAUGUACAGGGCAUAAGGUACAGGACACAGGGUAUGCACAGGGCAUAAGGUACAGGACACAGGGUGUGUACAGGGCAUAAGGUACAGGACACAGGGUGUGUACAGGGCAUAAGGUACAGGACACAGGGUGUGUACAGGGCAUAAGGUACAGGACACAGGGUAUGCACAUGGCAUAAGGUACAGGACACAGGGUGUGUACAGGGCAUAAGGUACAGGACACAGGGCAUAAGGUACAGGACGUAAGGUACAGGAGAGAGAGUGUAAAGUACAGGAUACAGGGUCUAAAGCUAUAAGGUAUAUCGUAGGUGAAGCAGAGUGCAAGGUGAUAAGAGGCGAUUCAAGUGGGGGGGGGUGAAAAUGGCACACCGAGGAGGGCUCUCCUUCCAGACCUGCAGCCGAACCCGCUUCUUGUCCACACAUACGCCUCCCUCGCUCAGAGGUGAGACCCGUUGCCAUGGAGACAGGCCAGACAGCGGCUGCAGUGCAUCAUUGACCACAGCUCUUUGUGCAUCAGUCACGCGGGUGAAUUGGAUAUUGGUGAGCUGCCCAUCUCUGCAGCCCAAGUCUUUGGGCUCAGGCUGCUAGACUCACACAUCAUCACUG